rnacentral:rRNA from 1 species
UUGGAGGGCAAGUCUGGUGCCAGCAGCCGCGGUAAUUCCAGCUCCAAUAGCGUAUAUUAAAGUUGUUGCAGUUAAAAAGCUCGUAGUUGAAUUUUGGGCCUGGCCGGGCGGUCCGCCCUCUGGGUGAGCACUGUUCCGACGUCGGGCCUAUCCUUCUGGUGAGUCGGCAUGUCCUUUAUUGGGUGUGUCGGGGAACCAGGAUCAUUACCUUGAAAAAAUUAGAGUGUUCAAAGCAGGCGUAUGCUCGGAUACAUUAGCAUGGAAUAAUGAAAUAGGACGCGUGGUGCUAUUUUGUUGGUUUCUAGAACCGCCGUAAUGAUUAAUAGGGAUAGUUGGGGGCAUUAGUAUUCAAUUGUCAGAGGUGAAAUUCUUGGAUUUAUUGAAGACUAACUUCUGCGAAAGCAUUUGCCAAGGAUGUUUUCAUUAAUCAAGAACGAAAGUUAGGGGAUCGAAGACGAUCAGAUACCGUCGUAGUCUUAACCAUAAACUAUGCCGACUAGGAAUCGGGCGAUGUUAUUCUCAUGACUCGCCCGGCGCCUUAUGGGAAAC